GCGCCCCGGGACUCGAACUAGGCUCUUUAAACCCCCCCCGGGAGAGUGGGUGAAAGGCGAGCCUGGUCACGAUUAAAAUGAUCGCCUGCAAAGCGGCUUGCUUGGCUCAAAGCGCCUUUCAGGGCUCUUCUACUAGAAAGGGAAGGAGCGAGGAGGAGACAGAACGCCGCCCAGGCCCGGAGCUGUUCAGGGCAUCCGCGGCUCAGCCAAGCUGUUGUUUUAAAGGAGCAAUAAAAAUGAAUUAUGACUAAACGCCUUCUAACUUAAUGCUUUCGGACGGGGAUCCCCGGCAAAUACGUAAGAGGAUUUUUAUUUGUGCAUGUGUUCCUGCAAUUGAUCUCUUUGAUGACAUUCUCAUUCAUAGAAAGCGUUUGAUUUAUGAGCGUAGGACGAAUCGCAUCCAGGAGCGGCGCAGCCCUGGCCGCGGCCGGGACGCCCUGCUCGGCGCUGCGCCUGGGGCCGGAAACCGGCAGCAGUCCCAACACCCUUCGCCGCUGCUGGGAUUUAGUGGGUGAAGGGGUGGGCGAAGGUAGGGAGCAAGCAGCACAUGAAAAAAGAUCGCGGUUUCGUUGUAACUUCCAAGCCUUUCCUGUUAAGAGCUGGGUUCUUAAAUCAACCCGCCCCACACACAUGUUGCUUACAAGCUGCGUUUUCUCACGGUCUGCUUUGCCUGAGUCCAUCAACAGCUGGGAGAUUAAUCAACCACACUGAAAAUGAGGGAUUUGUGAGGGAGGGGUUGAAAUGUAGAUGUUUAAAACAAAUGUGUAUAAAUAAAUGAAUUGUUGAUAACUUAGUUAUUGACCUGGAAACUAGUAGCUUGUUAAAGAAACUCCAUUUUACUCA